AGUGUCAUCAAUUCCUGAUCUUUCGCUCUAUGAAAUUUUCUCUCAUUUCCUAUUUCCACCCUACGUAUUACAUUGCUUAUUUAAGUUCUUUUCUGCCCCACAGCUUCUUCUUCAGCCCACCAGAAUGUAAGGACUUGAAUCUUUUUGCUUCAUUGCUGUAUUCUCAGCAUCCAGAAUCAUCUCUGGCAUGAGUAGACCUUUGAUACAUGUUUAUUUCCAUAUUCACAGCCUCCUCUCUGUUCCCAUCUGCCCUCUGGAUCUGUUUUGAGCAGCUCUGUGUUGGGCCGAGGGCUAGACACUGAGGUUGAAUAAGUCCUGGUCACAUUGUGUGUGGAGACUACAGACUGUCAGCAUGUAUGUAUGUCAGCAUGUAUGUACGACAUUUAUGCCUGUUAGAGCAGGUGUUCAAGAUUUUACCCACGAGAAUCUUCAGGCAGGAAAACAGACUUAAUAUUUCACCUCAUCCGUUCUUAACCACCGGAAGAGAGACCCCAAGACUGUGAGCGGCAGUGGCUGCGGAGUCCCUGACCACCGGAAUUGGCUGUGGCCACUCCCUCCUGAA